CAAAAUCUUUCUUAUUUUCAUCAACCUCAAACUCUCUUGUUUUGUUGCUACACGUUUAGUUUUGAAAUUUGCAUUUGAAACCUUUCCAAGUGAUUCCAUGACAAAACUAAAUACAUGGUUACCCUAAACUCUUAAGGUAACAAAACCAGGAACGAAAAAAGCAGAGUAGUUGCGUCAGCAACAGCCAGAAAGGUCAAAGCAUUUGCAGAGCAGACCAAACGGUGGACUAAAUCCAGCUUUUAAAGUUGCAGCAAAUCUCUAUGUUUGAUGGCAGUUGAAAGGGGAGGAAAUUAUAAUUGUUAAUUUCUGUAGCAUUACAUGACCAUACUUCUUCAACAGUUUCCAUAGAGACUGAUGUGGUAAUUCUCCUCGCUGGUCCCGAUGAUCAGUAAGCCAUGAGGAGAAAGUGGAUGCCGGCAACCUACGGCGGUGAUAAAGAUAGAGAGAGGAAGAGAAGCUUUAGAUGUCAGAUCAAAUUCAUACUUGUAACACAUUUCACUUUUGUAACUUCAUAAGCGAUGAUGAAAGAACGCUCUUGUCUUUUUAUGAGCAAACCUUAUCACUAAAAUGACAUUUAGUUUACUGUUUCAGAG